rnacentral:rRNA from 3 species
UUAAGCGACUAAGCGUACACGGUGGAUGCCCUGGCAGUCAGAGGCGAUGAAGGACGUGCUAAUCUGCGAUAAGCGUCGGUAAGGUGAUAUGAACCGUUAUAACCGGCGAUUUCCGAAUGGGGAAACCCAGUGUGAUUCGUCACACUAUCAUUAACUGAAUCCAUAGGUUAAUGAGGCGAACCGGGGGAACUGAAACAUCUAAGUACCCCGAGGAAAAGAAAUCAACCGAGAUUCCCCCAGUAGCGGCGAGCGAACGGGGAGCAGCCCAGAGCCUGAAUCAGUGUGUGUGUUAGUGGAAGCGUCUGGAAAGGCGCGCGAUACAGGGUGACAGCCCCGUACACAAAAAUGCACAUACUGUGAGCUCGAUGAGUAGGGCGGGACACGUGGUAUCCUGUCUGAAUAUGGGGGGACCAUCCUCCAAGGCUAAAUACUCCUGACUGACCGAUAGUGAACCAGUACCGUGAGGGAAAGGCGAAAAGAACCCCGGCGAGGGGAGUGAAAAAGAACCUGAAACCGUGUACGUACAAGCAGUGGGAGCCUCUUUAUGGGGUGACUGCGUACCUUUUGUAUAAUGGGUCAGCGACUUAUAUUCUGUAGCAAGGUUAACCGAAUAGGGGAGCCGAAGGGAAACCGAGUCUUAACUGGGCGUUAAGUUGCAGGGUAUAGACCCGAAACCCGGUGAUCUAGCCAUGGGCAGGUUGAAGGUUGGGUAACACUAACUGGAGGACCGAACCGACUAAUGUUGAAAAAUUAGCGGAUGACUUGUGGCUGGGGGUGAAAGGCCAAUCAAACCGGGAGAUAGCUGGUUCUCCCCGAAAGCUAUUUAGGUAGCGCCUCGUGAAUUCAUCUCCGGGGGUAGAGCACUGUUUCGGCAAGGGGGUCAUCCCGACUUACCAACCCGAUGCAAACUGCGAAUACCGGAGAAUGUUAUCACGGGAGACACACGGCGGGUGCUAACGUCCGUCGUGAAGAGGGAAACAACCCAGACCGCCAGCUAAGGUCCCAAAGUCAUGGUUAAGUGGGAAACGAUGUGGGAAGGCCCAGACAGCCAGGAUGUUGGCUUAGAAGCAGCCAUCAUUUAAAGAAAGCGUAAUAGCUCACUGGUCGAGUCGGCCUGCGCGGAAGAUGUAACGGGGCUAAACCAUGCACCGAAGCUGCGGCAGCGACACUAUGUGUUGUUGGGUAGGGGAGCGUUCUGUAAGCCUGUGAAGGUGUGCUGUGAGGUAUGCUGGAGGUAUCAGAAGUGCGAAUGCUGACAUAAGUAACGAUAAAGCGGGUGAAAAGCCCGCUCGCCGGAAGACCAAGGGUUCCUGUCCAACGUUAAUCGGGGCAGGGUGAGUCGACCCCUAAGGCGAGGCCGAAAGGCGUAGUCGAUGGGAAACAGGUUAAUAUUCCUGUACUUGGUGUUACUGCGAAGGGGGGACGGAGAAGGCUAUGUUGGCCGGGCGACGGUUGUCCCGGUUUAAGCGUGUAGGCUGGUUUUCCAGGCAAAUCCGGAAAAUCAAGGCUGAGGCGUGAUGACGAGGCACUACGGUGCUGAAGUAACAAAUGCCCUGCUUCCAGGAAAAGCCUCUAAGCAUCAGGUAACAUCAAAUCGUACCCCAAACCGACACAGGUGGUCAGGUAGAGAAUACCAAGGCGCUUGAGAGAACUCGGGUGAAGGAACUAGGCAAAAUGGUGCCGUAACUUCGGGAGAAGGCACGCUGAUAUGUAGGUGAAGUCCCUUGCGGAUGGAGCUGAAAUCAGUCGAAGAUACCAGCUGGCUGCAACUGUUUAUUAAAAACACAGCACUGUGCAAACACGAAAGUGGACGUAUACGGUGUGACGCCUGCCCGGUGCCGGAAGGUUAAUUGAUGGGGUUAGCGGUAACGCGAAGCUCUUGAUCGAAGCCCCGGUAAACGGCGGCCGUAACUAUAACGGUCCUAAGGUAGCGAAAUUCCUUGUCGGGUAAGUUCCGACCUGCACGAAUGGCGUAAUGAUGGCCAGGCUGUCUCCACCCGAGACUCAGUGAAAUUGAACUCGCUGUGAAGAUGCAGUGUACCCGCGGCAAGACGGAAAGACCCCGUGAACCUUUACUAUAGCUUGACACUGAACAUUGAGCCUUGAUGUGUAGGAUAGGUGGGAGGCUUUGAAGUGUGGACGCCAGUCUGCAUGGAGCCGACCUUGAAAUACCACCCUUUAAUGUUUGAUGUUCUAACGUUGGCCCCUGAUCGGGGUUGCGGACAGUGUCUGGUGGGUAGUUUGACUGGGGCGGUCUCCUCCUAAAGAGUAACGGAGGAGCACGAAGGUUGGCUAAUCCUGGUCGGACAUCAGGAGGUUAGUGCAAUGGCAUAAGCCAGCUUGACUGCGAGCGUGACGGCGCGAGCAGGUGCGAAAGCAGGUCAUAGUGAUCCGGUGGUUCUGAAUGGAAGGGCCAUCGCUCAACGGAUAAAAGGUACUCCGGGGAUAACAGGCUGAUACCGCCCAAGAGUUCAUAUCGACGGCGGUGUUUGGCACCUCGAUGUCGGCUCAUCACAUCCUGGGGCUGAAGUAGGUCCCAAGGGUAUGGCUGUUCGCCAUUUAAAGUGGUACGCGAGCUGGGUUUAGAACGUCGUGAGACAGUUCGGUCCCUAUCUGCCGUGGGCGCUGGAGAACUGAGGGGGGCUGCUCCUAGUACGAGAGGACCGGAGUGGACGCAUCACUGGUGUUCGGGUUGUCAUGCCAAUGGCACUGCCCGGUAGCUAAAUGCGGAAGAGAUAAGUGCUGAAAGCAUCUAAGCACGAAACUUGCCCCGAGAUGAGUUCUCCCUGACCCUUUAAGGGUCCUGAAGGAACGUUGAAGACGACGACGUUGAUAGGCCGGGUGUGUAAGCGCAGCGAUGCGUUGAGCUAACCGGUACUAAUGAACCGUGAGGCUUAACCUU